rnacentral:rRNA from 1 species
GCGUAAGCGCACGCAGGCGGUCUGUCAAGUCGGAUGUGAAAUCCCCGGGCUCAACCUGGGAACUGCAUCCGAAACUGGCAGGCUUGAGUCUCGUAGAGGGGGGUAGAAUUCCAGGUGUAGCGGUGAAAUGCGUAGAGAUCUGGAGGAAUACCGGUGGCGAAGGCGGCCCCCUGGACGAAGACUGACGCUCAGGUGCGAAAGCGUGGGGAGCAAACAGGAUUAGAUACCCUGGUAGUCCACGCCGUAAACGAUGUCGACUUGGAGGUUGUUCCCUUGAGGAGUGGCUUCCGGAGCUAACGCGUUAAGUCGACCGCCUGGGGAGUACGGCCGCAAGGUUAAAACUCAAAUGAAUUGACGGGGGCCCGCACAAGCGGUGGAGCAUGUGGUUUAAUUCGAUGCAACGCGAAGAACCUUACCUGGCCUUGACAUCCAGAGAACUUAGCAGAGAUGCUUUGGUGCCUUCGGGAACUCUGAGACAGGUGCUGCAUGGCUGUCGUCAGCUCGUGUUGUGAAAUGUUGGGUUAAGUCCCGCAACGAGCGCAACCCUUAUCCUUUGUUGCCAGCGA